ACUCCUACGGGAGGCAGCAGUGGGGAAUAUUGCACAAUGUGCGCAAGCCUGAUGCAGCCAUGCCGCGUGUAUGAAGAAGGCCUUCGGGUUGUAAAGUACUUUCAGCGGGGAGGAAGGCGAUAAGGUUAAUAACCUUGUUGAUUGACGUUACCCGCAGAAGAAGCACCGGCUAACUCCGUGCCAUCAGCCGCGGUAAUACGGAGGGUGCAAUCGUUAAUCGGAAUUACUGGGCGUAAAGCGCACGCAGGCGGUCUGUCAAGUCGGAUGUGAAAUCCCCGGGCUCAACCUGGGAACUGCAUUCGAAACGGGCAGGCUAGAGUCUGGUAGAGGGGGGUAGAAUUCCAGGUGUAGCGGUGAAAUGCGUAGAGAUCUGGAGGAAUACCGGUGGCGAAGGCGGCCCCCUGGACAAAGACUGACGCUCAGGUGCGAAAGCGUGGGGAGCAAACAGGAUUAGAUACCCUUGUAGUCCCAUG
rnacentral:rRNA from 1 species